CCAAGUAGAUCGCAGCCUCAUAUAGCAUAUUUAUUCUUCUAUGCCUUAUUUAGAAGAAGUAGGUCUUGGGCAGGUGACAUGUAUAUCGGUUCCAAUAUGAUAGAGCCCUUCUAAGUUUAGUGCUCUAGAGAUUGACAUCAUGUAUUUGUGUUGAUGCUCUCAGUGAUACAGCUCUGAGUCUGCUGUCUGCUCAGUCAUCAGGUGUACACAGUAAGUGCUGGCAAAUAGCAACUAGGUCCGGGGUGUGGGAUAGGAGUUAGCAUGUGCUGGUUUCUGUUAUAUGCAUACUCCUACUGUAUCUCAUUUCAAGCCACCAGUACAAAGUCACUGAUGAGAGAGUUGGAGUGAAAUAUACAGUGUCAGCUCUCAGUAGUGAGAUCUAGCUCUCUCCAGCACGUACUGCACUGACUACAAUAGAAUCUUUGCUUUUUCCCAGCUAUCUAAAUGGGGGACAGACAAUAUCACAGGCAUUCCGGAUGCUGUUCAUCAUUAUACGGGAGAAGUAAGCAGAUGGGCUAUGAAAAUAGGAAGUUCUAACCCUAGAGGGUCAAGCCAUGUUACUUUACUUAUCCAGAGUAGCUUUUAGAGCUUUGAGCACAGAGCCUUGAGACUCGACCAGCUGAUGGCCUGCCUAUGACACCCAUAGCCAUAGCAGAUGUGAGAGCCUCUAGUGAAUCAUUUGUCUCUGAGGAACGGUCUUCAAAAUAUGUGAGGAUAUUUAUGUAAGGUUCUAAGACAUCUUCUUAUCACCCUGCAAGACGCUGCUGUCCACCAGUGAGUAGAGGAGGUUAUUUAGGGUCACAGUUUGUUCUUGAUCCCUGUCUUUUGAACUGGUGAAUUCAAAAUCAAUACCAGCUCUGUCCUGAUGAGCACUGUAGAGUCAGGCUUUACAGAGGGCUUCUUGGCCUCCUGCUGCUGGUCUGAAGGCUGCUGGGCUUGCCUCCCAUGGUUAGUCCCCAUGUGGUCUCUUUGAAUCUGUGGGAGGCUGUCAUGUUUCUUUGGUUUCUACUACAAGUCUGUGAUCCAGGAAUUCCCCCCAAAGAAAUAGCUUUAUAAAAGGUAUGUA